rnacentral:tRNA from 1 species
GACGAGGAGGUUGACUGGUUAAAGCGAUGGACUGCUAAUCCAUUGUGCUUUGCCCACAUGGGUUCAAAAUCCAUCCGCGUCG